ACACCUUUCGUGAAAAUUUUACCAGUCAACUUGGGGCAGCCGUUUACAAUAUUAACUGGGUUACAGUCACAUCGGGUGAACAAUGCAUUUCUCUUCAGCAUUAGAAAUAAAAAUAGACUGCAAUUAGGAGUACAAUUACUACCUAAAAAAUUAGUAGUACACAUUAGAGGAAAGCAGCCUGCAGUUUUCAACUACAGUGUUCAUGAUGAGCAAUGGCACUCAUUUGCCAUUACUAUUAGAAACCAAAGUGUCUCAAUGUUUGUUGAGUGUGGAAAGAAAUAUUUUAGCACAGAGACUAUUCCAGAAGUUCAGACCUUUGAUUCUAAUAGUGUGUUUACUUUAGGAAGUAUGAAUAAUAAUUCUGUCCAUUUUGAAGGAAUAGUAUGUCAGUUAGAUAUUAUUCCUUCUGCAGAAGCAUCUGCAGACUACUGCAGAUAUGUGAAACAGCAGUGUCGCCAAGCGGACAAAUACCAACCUGAAAAAAGCCUUCCUUGUACAACUCUCAUACCACCUAAGAUACCGGAACACUCUCCCCCACCCAAACGAUUUGCUGAAAAAGUACUGUCAGAGGAUACAUUUACUGAAGGCAAAAGCAUUCCAAAUAUCAUAAAAAAUGAUUCUGAAACCGCGUAUAAAAGACAAGAACACCAGAUAUCAAGAUCUCAGUUAUCUUCUCUUCAGUCAGGAAAUGUCUCUGCUGUGGAUCUCACAAACCAUGGGAUUCAGGCCAAAGAAAUGAUCACUGAGGAAGAUACUCAGACAAAUUUCAGCCUGUCAGUGACCACUCAUCGCAUCAGUGAGGCAAGAAUGAAUACCAAAGAGAAAUUUAGUUCUCUCCUAAACAUGUCUGACAAUAUCACACAACAUGAUGAUAGAGUAACUGGUCUGUCACUGUUUAAGAAGAUGCCAUCUAUUCUUCCACAAAUUAAACAAGAUACAAUUACUAAUCUCAAGAAGGCUAUCACAGCAAAUCUACACACUAACGAACUCAUGGAAAUGCAACCAAUUUUAAACACAAGCUUGCAUAGAGUGACAAAUGAGCCAUCUGUGGAUAAUCACCUUGAUCUAAGGAAAGAAGGUGAAUUUUAUCCUGAUGCUACUUAUCCCAUCGAAAAUAGCUAUGAAACUGAGCUUUAUGAUUAUUAUUAUUAUGAGGAUCUAAAUACAAUGCUUGAAAUGGAGUAUCUGAGAGGGCCAAAAGGAGACACUGGACCUCCCGGUCCACCUGGUCCAGCAGGUAUCCCAGGUCCGUCAGGGAAGAGAGGUCCACGGGGCAUACCAGGGCCACAUGGAAAUCCUGGUUUACCUGGAUUACCUGGUCCAAAGGGCCCCAAAGGAGAUCCAGGAUUUUCCCCAGGUCAACCUGUUCCUGGAGAAAAGGGUGAUCAAGGCCUUUCUGGAUUAAUGGGCCCCCCUGGUAUGCAAGGUGAUAAGGGUCUCAAAGGACAUCCUGGACUCCCAGGACUUCCAGGUGAACAAGGAAUUCCAGGAUUUGCUGGUAAUAUUGGUUCACCUGGUUACCCUGGCAGGGUUUAGCUGGACCAGAAGGUAAUCCAGGUC
rnacentral:lncRNA from 1 species